rnacentral:lncRNA from 1 species
GUAAAUUAUGGGAUGUCAUCCACGCCUGUCCCAAAGGUACCGAAUUUAUAAAUCAUCUCAGGUGCGGAGCAGGACAGGUUGAAAAUAGGAAUGACAUGAACCCGCGCGGAACAGCUGCCGGCGCGGUGUCCAGGGCGGCACCCCGCCCGGUCCCGGCCCCUCCAGCCCUGGGCCCGACCCCUACUACGCCUCUGCCUCGACGCGAACGCGGAGCCCGAGCGCGCGUCACGCCGUGUGGGGCCGAAGAGGCUGCUACCCAGAGGCGGAGUGCGGGCUCGCGAGGGUCCCCACCCCACUCUCGCUCCCGCCAGCACCUACGGACUCGCGUCCCCGCCGCGCGCCGACUCGGGAGCAGCACCGCCCCCGGCACAGGAGCCUCACGCGCCUCUUACCUAACAGGAAGUUGGGUGGAAGCAGCGCGGACCCACGGCACACCGAACGCACUCCAACAGAACCCGACGCAGACACGCGCUUUCAACCGGCGGAGACACUGGCAGCUGAUCCAUAUGAAUUCCUCUUAUUAAGAAAAAUAAAGCAUCCAGGAUUCAAUGAAGAACUGACUAUCACCUUGUUAAUCAUUCAGAAACAUGUUGCAGGCUUAAGCCAUUUUUGAUAUAGAUACUGAAACAAUUACUUGCUAAGAGCAAACUUGAAGGUAUGGAUAAGGCCCUGAGUCAUCUUCCUGAGCUGAAUGAUAGUUAAGCUGAAUGUACGUAUAAAAUAUGAUUUUCUAACCACUUGCUCGCCAACAAGGAAAACUUUUAAGUAGAGCAGAACCUGAAUAGACAAGACAUUUCUUUCUUUUGGUAGAAAAUGAUUUACCAUCACUGUGUAGUUAAUUGUAGACUAGGUAAUUUUAACUUUGUGAUUUAUUGCCGGAGACAUUUUCUUCUGUACUGUAAAGUGUGUGUCAAAAAAAAAAAUAGCGAUUUUGGAGGAUUAGGGGACUUUGAUAAAUUGCCUGCAAUUCUGGCAGUAUGAACUGCAUAUUAAUUUCUGUCUUUCAAGAACAUUUUUAUUUAUUAAUUCCUUACAAAAACUCCCUAAACUUUGGAACAGCUCUCAAUUGCCUGUAUUCUUUUUUUUCUUAUUAUGGUACUCUUCUAGAGAUUUGGCUUGCAUCUGUGAAUAAGCCAGGACAUCUUCAGAAAUUGUCUGAUUAAAAACACCACCAAUGGAGUUUCAUUAAAUUUGUAUUGCUCUGACUAGUGAAACACACACAUCUAUGUUGCUGAGGAUAUUUUACUGCAGUUCGAGUUGUAAUAAUAGCUCUGUUUAAGAUCCGUCAGUCACUUGAAUCUUCUCUAAGGCUUUGUAUGUUAGAAGUUAAUUUGCUUUCUUACAAGGCCACAUUCUAUCUUGUAACUAAACAACUGAAUUUUAUGUCUUAGCGUAGAUGGUUUACUACUUUCUGGUUUUUCUUUAGUAAGAAUCCUAUAAAAACACUAGUAUUUUUCUCUGAGUUUAAAAUUCAAUACAUGCCUACUGAUAUGGUUAGGCUUUGUAUCCCCACCUGAAUCUCGUCUUGAAUUGUAAUCCCCAUAGCCCCCAUAAUCCCCACAGGUCAAGGGAGAGACCAGGUGGAGGUAAUUGAAUCAUGGGGGCAGUUUCCCCUGUGCUGUUCUUGUGAUAGUGAGUUCUCACGAGAUUUGAUGGUUUUAUAAGGGAUUCUUUCCCCUUUGCUCGGCACUUCUUCAUGCUGCCUUGCGAAGAAGCUGGCUUGCUUCCUCUUUGUCUUCCGCCAUGAUUGUAGAUUUCCUGAGGCCUCCCAAGCUGUGCUGAACUUAACAAUUUGGACAAGACAGCAAAUGCUAUUGUCCAAGUUUUCUAAAGAAGAAUCUGAAGUGAAAUGACAUCAAGAGACCUAUCAAGACCUGUAUCCAGGAAAAGGUUUAUAUGUGGAAGAGACUUGCCCUGUCUCAGGUGAGACUUUGGACUGCCAACUUUUGAGUUAAUGCUGAAGACUGGACCUCACUGUGGGAACAACAAGAUCAACAAGAGGAGCAAGAACAACAUCAAGAGUCAGGGCCCGGGGGUCCUGACGGGUACAGGAUGGGUACAGACCCACACAGGAAUCCCAGAGUGUGUUCCACAGCAGGACACGCCUGCGCUGAAAGAGUGGGCAGAAAGGAGCUGACCUGGGAUUAUGAUCCAAACUCAGCUGGGCCUCCCCUCCCUGCCCCAGGAUUGUGGAGUGAGAACGUUGCAGCAGGAGAGAACAACGCAGCAAAGCACAGCAGGGGAACCGGAAAUGCUCACCUUUUGACAGGACCAAACCAAUGCACAACUCCUACGUACUGAUGGUGGUCUUACGUUUCCCUAAGUUUCUGCCGACUAAACUGUGCACACGUUCUCAGGACCUCCUGAAGCUGCGUCACAGGCGCUGAUCAAAGAACACAACCAAGAGUUUGGCCUUUUCUUCAGCACUGGGAAUUGUGAUCCAAAGCUUUUCCUGAUGAGGCACAAAGUUGGAGAAACAAAACGCAAACUAAGCAACAAUGAAACAGAACAGAGUGAAUCUGCUGUAGCUCAAGAGAGGACGUAGCUGCCCCCACUCCGCAUCCCCGGGCUCGGGUUUGCCUUGCUGACCUCUGCUGCCACCUGGUGCCGCACAGAGAAACUGAGGAGAAACCACAUCAGUCUCCUUCAGCCUCAGCUUCACAUCUGUGGUGGGUCAAGCAACCCUUUCAGAAGCUGUAUAAUGUGGGAAAGCUUUCCUCUCAGGAAAAUGCACACAUCCAACUUUGAGAAGAUGCCCUUGGGGGCGCUUCAAGGAUCCUAGAUAAAGAACCCCCUUUCCCGAACAUCCAAGAACCUAAGUUUUUUUUUUUUUUUUUGAGAAAGUCUCACUCUCUCUCCCAUUCUGGAGUGCAGUGGUGUGAUCUUGGCUCACUGCAAGCUCCACCUCCCAGGUUCACGCCAUUCUCCUGCCUCAGCCUCCUGAGUAGCUGGGACUACAGGCGCCCGCCACCACACCCGGCUAAUUUUUUUGUAUUUUUAGUAGAGACGGGGUUUCACCAUGUUAGCCAGAAUCGUCUUGAUCUCCUGACCUUGUGAUCCACCCGCCUCGGCCUCCCAAAGUGCUGGGAUUACAGGUGUGAGCCACCACGCCUGGUCCAAGAACCCAACUUUUAGAUCUAGAGUGAUGUCAGCAUGACAUUGAUUUCCUGAGGCCCAGGGGUGAAGGAGCUGAGGACAGCAGAGGGGUGAAGGAAGUCAGCUACAGACAGCAGCAGCUGAUGCACAGGCCUCCCAGCGCCUGAAGUCACCCGGAAUUGGGAAGUGCUCAGAAGCUUACAAAGCUGCCUCGAGGUGGGAACACAAUAUUAAUCCAAGAGCAGAUCCCUGAUCCUAUAAAAAUGUACUAGAUGCAGUGGGGGCAUUUUAAAUGAGCAGGGAAGAACAGACAGAUAGACAGAAGGACAAACAGUAUUGGGAUUGGGAUAAAUGCUCAGCUUUUGCCCAAAUCUUAGUGACUUAAGCAUCACUUAUUUGCUCACGAUUCUGUGGCUGGACCAUUUGGUUUGGCUCACAGGGCAGGGACUGUGCUGGUCUUACCUGAGCAGACCUGCAUGUCUGCGGUCAGCUGGGUUGGCAGAGACAGAGUGACUGUCUUCCUCCAGGAAGCAGCAGGUUAACUGGUUGGCAGAGACAGAGGGACAGAGGGACUGUCUUCCUCCAGGAAGCAGCAGGUUAACUGGUUGGCAGAGACAGAGGGACAGAGGGACUGUCUUCCUCCAGGAAGCAGCAGGUUGGCUCUGGUUCCUUCGUGGGGCAGCUGGUCUCUAGGGCAGCAAGAGAGACCAAGCCCCCGUGCACAUUCUACAGCCUCUGUGCACAUCAGACUUGUUAAUAUCCCAUUGGCCAGUGCAAGUCACACGGCCAAGCCCAGAUUAAGGAGUGGAAAGAUGGAUGCUAUCUCCUCCUGGGAGAGGAGGCAAAGGAGGUGAGAGCAUUAUGUGGCCACUUAUGUUUGCAAUCUACCAUACUUAGCCCUUUGAGAAAAGAAUUAACUGAGAAACUUGCUUCAAAUAGGGCAUUCAGUAAAAUGAAGCCCCAAUUGAAGUAAAAUGCAUAUAUAAAAAAUGAAACUGUGACCGAUUUUAAGGACAGUAUUGGCAAAUAUUUCUGUGCUCUUGGAGGAGAAGACCCUUAUUGGCAUGACAUGUCAGAAACCACAAUGAAAGAAUUAUUUUAACUUGCAUUCAUAAUAAUUAAAAUUAUUCAUUAAAAACAUCGUGAAUGAAAUUAAAAGUCAAAAUGUAAGCCAGAAAAUUAUUUACAACAUAUGUGUCAGGAAAAGACAAUACCCUUCAGACUUUGAGAGUUUACAUCAGAAAGAAAAUAGCAAAUGACAUGAUCCAAACUUGAUAAAGGACAUGAAAAAGAGCCAGCACUUAGUAUGUUUUAUGAAUGAAUAAGUAGCCAACAGCACAUGAAAAUGUGUGUAAUCCACUUGUAAGCAGAGAAAUGCAAACUAAAACAGUAAAGUGUCAUUUUCACUUCCUGGAUUGGCAAAGGGUUUUAUGUAUUUUACUGACAGUGCUCAAUAUUAGCAGUAAACAACAAAUGGUGAGUAAAUAUGAGCUUCGGAACCUCAGGGAAAUGAUCUCCUUAUUUCAACCUGUAGAUUCCUUCCUACAACCAGUGUAGAGCAGAGUACCAGGACGGGCCAUUGAGCACCCUGGUGUUGAGAGCAAGUGGCCUCUAGUCAGAGUUGGGUCAGGGCCACUGUGAGUGGGCUGCCCCCAACAUGAGUCAGCUGUCUAGGACUAGUUUAUCUCUGCUUCUCACUUUACUGGUAUUAUGGGGCAGCUCCUGCUGUCUUCCAAUUUGGUGUCUUCCAAAUCGGCACCGUCUUUUAAAGUUGAGUUUCUUGUUAUUCUCACCUGAUAUACCUUAUUUAUCCCACACCCACCCCAAUAACAUAUCGUGCUCAGUGUUAUCUUUGAGACAACACUUGAAUUUUACUCAGCCUGGAGCGCUCUUCACAUGUCUUGUCCAGAUCCAGUUCGGACUCAUUCUUCAGCCGUGCAUCAGUAAAUGGGGGCUAGGUUAAACUGUGGUGACAAACAACCUCCAAAUUUCAGUGGCUCAAAAAUCUUCUUCCUCAUUUAUUUACAUUUCAUCAUGGGUCAGGUGAGAGGUAGCUCUGUGCUGUGUCAUCCUAACACAGGGAUCCAGACGGAAGGAGGGACAAUCAAUAAGAUCCCCAUUGCUAUAGAAAAGAGAAAAAAGUAUGCGGAAUAGAACUCUGUUUCUUGGAGAUUUCUCCUGAAAAAGUCACAUGUUAUUUCUUCUCACCUCCAUUGGCAAAAAAAAAGUCAUGUGGCCAUGUGAAAAUGUAAGUAGGCGGGAUGGAACAGUCAGAAUGCAUUCAUAAAAUAUGAACUGAAAAUAUCUGGAGAACAGCACCUAUGACUACCACGAAUGCCAACAUGCAUCCCUAACAACCCAGUGCUGUCACCCUCCAAACUUUUUAUGUCUUGAAAAGUAUUAGAACUUCUUAUCUGAAGCCAUACCACUCAGAGGGAAUGCAAAAUACAUAUUGACAUCUCCUUUAGGAUGUCCUUAGAGAAUUCAAGGAAAAGAAGUUAAAUAAUUUAAAAGUGCUUUUGGGUACAGCUAUUUAGCACUAGAGGGUAAGAUUAGACAUAGAUUGUAAAGAUAAUAAUAGGGUUAGGGAUAGGAUUAGGAUCUGGGUCAGAGUCAGGGCCAGAAGUAUGGUUAGAGGUGGGGUCAUGGUCAGGGUCGAGAUCAAAGUCAGGGUCAGAAUUAGGGACCAGGGUAGGGAUCAGGGUUUAGGUUCAGGGUCAAAGUCUUGGGACAGGGUUAGGGUUAGGAUUAGAACCAGAGCUUUGUUCUCCUCAGGACCCACCCGAGGGUGGGUCACCAUGGCUUUGGAGCACCUGGUAGUGUGGCGUGUCCACAGUGAAGACCAGAGUUUCGUUGUCCUUAAGACUGACCUGGGGAGACGUGGCUGCAGGCCAUUGAGGAAGGUGAGGAAAAACAUCCUGUCUGCUCCCCGUGUGCUGAGGAGGGAGCUCUGCCGUGGGCUUUACUUUCACAUGUUAUAUUCCACAAGUCUUGUUUUACAAAAGCAUCCCUUCCUUGAGGCUUCGGCUGCUCAUCGCUGCUCAUCAUCAUAGCGUGCCAUAACAUAUAGUAAGAUUUGGGUUUGUUUCUGGGGAGAGAUCUUGGUAUAGAGAAAGGAGAAAUGCUUAGAGCCACCAUCAGGACAGUUGGGAUGAAAGUUGGGUAUAGGCAGAGGCUGGAGGAAACAUGUGCAUCCCCUGUAAACACUUUUAUUCAUGUUUUAAUUACUCAUUUUUCUUACAGUGUUAAAUUAGUAAAGAUAGUAUUGAAAAAUUGAAAAGUAGGCAUAUUAAAACCUGCAACACUAUUUAAGCUUAGAUACAUUAUUUGUAUCUCAUCAUUUUUUAUUUUGUUGAGAAAGUUUAAGGUUAAUUGACAGCAUAUUUCUAAUAGUAGAUAGAAUAACAUCCCUUUUAUAAACUUUGACAUCUUACAUUACAUGUGUGAACCCUGAAAAUCUGAGACAGCUCUCAGAUUUUUUAGAAAGUUUAUUUUGCCAAUCUUGAGGAUGUGCACCUGUGAUGCCUCCUCAGGAGAUCCUGACAACAUGGGCCCAAGGUGGUCGGGGCACAGCUUGGUUUUAUACACUUUAGGGAGACACGAGAGAUCAAUCAAUAUGUGUAAGAUGUACAUUGGUUCAGUCCAGAAAGGUGAGAAGGCCAGACAGGGGGCUUCCAGGUCACAGGUAGGUAAGAGACAAAUGGUUUCAUUCUUUUGCAUUGCUGAUUACCCUUUCCACGUGAGGCAAUCAGGUAUGCAUUUAUCUAGGUGAUCAGACGGGUGUCUUUGGAUAGAAUGGGAGGCGGGUUUGCCCUAAGCAGUUCCCAGCUUGACUUUUCCCUUUAGCUUAGUGAUUUUGAGUCCCCAAGAUUUAUUUUCCCUUCAUAAGUGUUCCUAUGAGUAUUAAUUAUUCAUUGUGUCUUUUAUUACACAAAUAAGGCACAGAUUUUUAAGAAAUCAUCAACUUCAUGGCUACCUAUAUAGACAUAAUUACAUAGAAGCUCAACUAAAUUUGCAAACAUUCCAGAGUUUGGGUUUCCAAUAAUUCUUUGUGAUUCUUUAAAAGGUAAAGUAUUUUUUCCCAUAAAACAUAGCAACAUUUAAAAUCACCCGUAGAAUGUCCUGCCAUUUUUGUUUUUCUAGUUUCCUCAUUUUCUGCAAAUCCUCGCUGAGGAAAUUGACUUUGAAUAUCCUUUUAGACUCUUUUGUUUUAGAAAGCAUUGUGGUAAAACAUUGAAUCAUCAUGGUCAUAAGUUCCGUUCACAUUCUUUCUUUCUUUGAAUAUUUUUUCCCAGUGGCCAAUAUUUGAUUCUGUUGUAUUAUGGCUAAAAGGUAGGCAUGGGAACAAAAUAAAGACAAGAAGUCUUUGGAAUAAUUGAUCCCAUCACAAUGAAUCAAUUUGCCAUUGGAACAUGUUUUUACAAAGUCACUCUUUUGAAAAUAUUCAGCUAUGACUUGAAACAGAGUCUGUAUGGUUAAUAUUUUUCCUGGUCUAAGGUGAACAGCAUUUUAGAGAAUGAACCCAGGACACAACCACAGCACAAGAAAAAAAUAUGAUAAUUAAGUUUACACAUAUUGUUACUACUGUAACAGAAAACAUGUAAAGGACAUUUGUUUUGAUUUAUAUAUCAGUCUGCACUGUUUAAUUUUUUGUGUCAUAAUUGCUCUUAUUUUAAAAAACAGGACUAGUUAACAGUGUCAAUUACUAGUAAUUCAUGGUAUAAAUAAUUAAACAAGGAAGUG